GACGAACGCUGGCGGCGUGCUUAACACAUGCAAGUCGAACGGAAAGGCCUGCUUUCCCUUGUGGAUUGCGGGUACUCGAGUGGCGAACGGGUGAGUAACACGUGAGUGAUCUGCCCCCAACUUGGGUAUAAGCCUGGGAAACUGGGUCUAAUUCCCGAUAGGACUGCAGGGUGGUGCCUGUGGUGGAAAACGAUCUUCUAGUGGUUGGGGAUGAGCUCGCGGCCUAUCAGCUUGUUGGUGGGGUAAUGGCCUACCAAGGCGGCGACGGGUAGCCGGCCUGAGAGGGGGGACGGCCACAUUGGGACUGAGAUACGGCCCAGACACCUACGGGAGGCAGCAGUGGGGAAUAAUGCACAAUGGGCGGAAGCCUGAUGCAGCGACGCCGCGUGGGGGAUGACGGCCUUCGGGUUGUAAACUCCUUUCGACCGCGAGGAAGCCACCUGGUUGGAAGGGUGGUGACGGUAGUGGUAGAAGAAGCACCGGCUAACUACGUG
rnacentral:rRNA from 1 species